CAGUAGGAGUUAAACCUACCGGGAUAAAAGUCGGAGUCCCGUAGCUUGGGUAGCAGCAUGUAGGGAGACCAAAGUGUUGAAGCCUACCGACAAUGUUAUCGUAGGAUAAGGGCGAAUUACCAGGCCGUAGCGAAA
rfam:Wolbachia endosymbiont of Glossina morsitans morsitans contig_0144, whole genome shotgun sequence.